UACGUAGGGUGCGAGCGUUAAUCGGAAUUACUGGGCGUAAAGCGUGCGCAGGCGGUUUGUUAAGACAGAUGUGAAAUCCCCGGGCUUAACCUGGGAACUGCAUUUGUGACUGGCAAGCUAGAGUAUGGCAGAGGGGGGUAGAAUUCCACGUGUAGCAGUGAAAUGCGUAGAUAUGUGGAGGAAUACCGAUGGCGAAGGCAGCCCCCUGGGCUAAGAUUGACGCUCAUGCACGAAAGCGUGGGGAGCAAACAGG
rnacentral:rRNA from 1 species